UGGGGAAUAUUGGACAAUGGGCGCAAGCCUGAUCCAGCCAUGCCGCGUGGAUGAUGAAGGCCUUAGGGUUGUAAAAUCCUUUCGCCGAGGACGAUAAUGACGGUACUCGGAGAAGAAGCUCCGGCUAACUUCGUGCCAGCAGCCGCGGUAAUACGAAGGGGGCUAGCGUUGUUCGGAUUUACUGGGCGUAAAGCGCAUGUAGGCGGGUCGUUAAGUUGGGGGUGAAAUCCCGAGGCUCAACCUCGGAACUGCCUUCAAAACUGGCGACCUGGACUCAAGCAGAGGCAAGUGGAAUUGCGAGUGUAGAGGUGAAAUUCGUAGAUAUUCGCAGGAACACCAGUGGCGAAGGCGGCGAUCUGGACGGAUACUGACGCUGAGGUGCGAAAGCGUGGGGAGCAAACAGGAUUAGAUACCCAAGUAGUCCCUGAGCGGGCUGGCAAGGCGCAU
rnacentral:rRNA from 1 species